UAUUAAUAUUAUUAUCAUCAUUAUCAUGAUCAUUAUUAUUAUAAUGAAUAUGAUUAUUGUUUGGGUUACUUUUGUUUCACUUCUUUCCUGGAAAUACUAUCAUAAGAAAGGCAUGAAACAUUAUGGGAAAUCACUAGUUUCCUCCAUUUUCGAGGUCAGUGCAUCCAUUUUAAAAUGAGCAUUGGUUAGACUUCUAAAAGGUCAUCCUUUUUUUUCAUAAUUUCCAUAGCAUACAAACCAUAUACUGGGGGGAGGGGGAGGGGGGGUUAAACUCUGGUUGCACGCUUUUUAGGACAUUGUAAAAGUGAUGUUCCAGAUUAAAUUGGAGAUCUUGUGGCAGUUUUCAAUUUUAUCUUUUUGCUUUGUACACGCUAGAGGGGGUGGGGGUCUUGGGCAGGGAGUACCAUUGGUGCGCUUGUGAAAAUGAUGAAAAGAAUAGAUGACCCUCUAAAAGCUUCAGUAUGAAAAGGCAUGAUAAGUUCCAUAACUUAAAAAAAAAAUAUAUAUAUAUAUAUAAAUGUAUAAAAAUAUAAAGGGCAUGAUAUAUCAGAUACAUAAGAAGGCUACAUACAAAGGAAAGGCUGAUAAUACUCUUAGCACAUGCUUCUAGCUCCUUGAUUCUCCCCAAAAUAAAGAUCAUUUUGCUUUUAUUACUCUGCCGCCCCCUCACAGCAAAUGGUUGAAGCAACACAGCACACACUAUAUUAUAGCAUAGCAUACUUCAAGCAGUAGAUGAACUAGCAAUAAGGACACAGUAGCUCCUAUUCAGACUGACCCCUUCAAGAUUUGGUAAAGAGCUUAAAGGAGGAAUCCCCUCAUCACUCAACAUUGCGAGCCCACACCAGGCGGCCCAAAGGUUUAGCUAAACCACAUCUUCGCCAAAGUGCCACAUCCCAUUAGGGUCUCGUCUGGGCUGCCAGGUGUGCCUAACGAAGGCCCUGAAUGGCAUUACGGUCAUCGUACCUGAAGGCACUACAGACGUACGGAAUGUAUAGGACUCAAGGGCUAGCGUUGGCAUAACUUGAAGUGCUUUUGAUAGUAUAUAUAUACUUUUGAGAACAUUAAAAAAAAAAAAAAUUUUUUUUAGCAUUAUUCUUGUCUGUAGUUGUCCAGAUUCUUGUAAUAGGUUUUAAUUUUAGUGAUUCAUGUCUGUGUUUUUUUUUUUUUUUUUUUUUUGUAUGUCAAAUGUAGAAUCUAUAUGAUAUAGUACAAGAGAUUUCAGUCAUAAGAACACUAUUUUUACAAAGCUGUGACUGAAACAUUUUACAUGUGGGUGCUCAAUUUUAUUUGUGAAUUGUUUGAUACAGUUAAAUGAUGUAAAGAUUCCUCGUACAACUUUUAUUGUUCCUAAUGCAUAAGUGUUUCUGUAAUUAUCAUAUUAAAAAAAAAAAAAAUGAAUAUCAAGUGUAUGAUGACGACUGUUGUAAAAGAAGAUGUCCUUAUAAAUAUAUGUCUGCCCGUGUUUUAUGUGCUGCUUGA